rnacentral:misc_RNA from 1 species
GUUGUGCUAUUUGUUGAGUUAGGUUGGUGGUGUAACGCCAAAGAAGGGUGGAACAGAACACUUGGGGCUUCCUGUUUUUAACACAGUUGCUGAAGCCAAAGCUGAAACGAAGGCCAAUGCAUCAGUUAUUUACGUUCCCCCACCAUUUGCUGCAGCAGCUAUCUUGGAGGCAAUGGAAGCCGAGUUAGAUCUUGUUGUUUGUAUAACGGAAGGAAUCCCACAACAUGAUAUGGUGCGAGUUAAGGCUGCUUUAAACAAACAAUCUAAAACUAGAUUGAUUGGCCCUAAUUGCCCUGGCAUUAUCAAGCCUGGAGAAUGUAAAAUUGGAAUUAUGCCCGGAUACAUCCACAAACCUGGUCGCAUUGGCAUUGUAU